AGUGAACGCUGGCGGUAUGCCUAACACAUGCAAGUCGAACGGCAGCACCGUAAGAGCUUGCUCUUACGGGUGUCGAGUGGCGGAAGGGUGAGGAAUACUCCGGAAUCUACUUUUUCGUGGGGGCUAACGUAGGGAAAUUUACGCUAAUACAGCAUACGUCCUACGGGUGUAAGCAGGGGAUCUUUGGGCCUUGUGCGAUUGUAUGAGCCGAGGUCGGCUUCGCUAGUUAGCGGGGUAAAGAGCUUGCACGGCGACGAUGCGUAGCUGGUCUGAGGGGAUGAACAGCCAGACGGGCACGGAGACACAGUCCAGACUCCUACGGGGGGCAGCAGUGGGGAAUAUUGGAGAAGGGGCGCAAGCCGGAUCCAGGCAUACCGCGUGAGGGAAGAAGGCCUUCGGGUGGUUGAGCCCUGUUGGUGUGAAAGAAAAGCAGCAGGUUAAUACCCCGCUGUUCUGACGGUACCCAAAGAAUAAGCACCGGCUAACUUCGUG
rnacentral:rRNA from 1 species